rnacentral:rRNA from 1 species
GACGAACGCUGGCGGCGUGCCUAAUACAUGCAAGUCGAGCACAGGAAACUGACGGAACUCUUCGGAGGGAAGGCAGUGGAAUGAGCGGCGGACGGGUGAGUAACACGUAAGGAACCUGCCUCAAGGAUUGGGAUAACUCCGAGAAAUCGGAGCUAAUACCGGAUAGUUCAACGGACCGCAUGGUCCGCUGAUGAAAGGCGCUUCGGCGUCACCUUGAGAUGGCCUUGCGGUGCAUUAGCUAGUUGGUGGGGUAACGGCCCACCAAGGCGACGGUGCAUAGCCGACCGGAGAGGGUGAUCGGCCACACUGGGACUGAGACACGGCCCAGACUCCUACGGGAGGCAGCAGCAGGGAAUCUUCCACAAUGGACGAAAGUCUGAUGGAGCAACGCCGCGUGAGUGAUGAAGGUUUUCGGAUCGUAAAACUCUGUUGUAAGGGAAGAACACGUACGAGAGGAAAUGCUCGUACCUUGACGGUACCUUACGAGAAAGCCACGGCUAACUACGUGCCAGCCGCCGCAGUAA